UACAGAGGGUGCAAGCGUUGUUCGGAAUUAUUGGGCGUAAAGAGCUCGUAGGCGGUUUGCCGCGUCUGCUGUGAAAACUCAGGGCUUAACCCUGAGCUUGCAGUGGGUACGGGCAGACUGGAGUGCGGCAGGGGAGACUGGAAUUCCUGGUGUAGCGGUGAAAUGCGCAGAGUAUCAGGAGGAACACCGGUGGGCGAAGGC
rnacentral:rRNA from 1 species